GACCUUAAUUAUGGUGUAUCAUACACUGAGCUACCCACCUGUGUCACUUUUGUUUGAUUUGAAGCCUUCCGUGAGAUUUUGGGUUUGGGCGAUAUCCACAAACCACCAUACAACGGGAGUCAGCGGGGCACAGACUUUAAAUCCGUCGUACACGCAUAAACAGUAUUUUCUUAUUUUGUUUAGGGUCAUACAAUUACGUUUCCGCCUCAUUUCAAUAUUUAAAUCUCCCGGGUUCAGUGAACGAAUUAAAAAUCUGUAUUGACUGAGGUGUGCCACGUCAUCUUUCUGCGACGCUCAUUCUGACAGCCAGCCAGCUCUGCUCCGGCAGUCGGCAACAUGAUAAAGUAACAAGAAGCAAACGUUGAAGCUCUCGGUUUUUAACAGUUCUUCGGCUAGAACUUUGCUAUGGAUUGAAUGUGCGCAUAUACUGGAUGCUGAAACUAAACGACAAGCUUUAUGAAACCGUGGCAUUUUGCGUUGAGAUGGAAAAGGAACGCGCCACACUCUCCUGGAUACGAGGCUACGUGUGUGCGGCUUUUGCGCCAAAGGUCUUUCUACCAGCAAAACAAAAUAGCAGGACAGAAGUGACAGCGUCAGAAAGAAAACAAUGCUGUUCCGAUUGCUGAUGGAGACAACAGAGGAAGGUGCCAAGUAACUCUGGAGGAUAUUCUCGCCAUGACGAAUCGAGCUGGUAUCAACAUUCUUCGAAGUUGAAUCGGAGAUUAUAGCCAAAACUCACAGGAACACACAGCUUUCAAUUGAGAAAUGCUGUACACAGCGCCCAGCGCCCUGGGAGCUGAACGUCUGCGGCCAGGUUACAGUACAGAAGGGUCAUCCAAGGUGCAUCAUGACCCUCAUCCAUCUCCCACCAUACCAUAUGCUGGAUGGAGUCAGAGUCUCUACAUUGACUUAUCAUCUUGUGUUAUAUUGAGUAAUUACAAUGAAGUUAUAAAUCUAGUUGGUAAUACUACACAUAAUUUGACAUUACACAUCUUAGGUGCAUUGUGGGGGACCCCUUAUUGGACCAAAUGUAGCUGGUUCGAAUCCCUCCUGACCUCUCCCUACAUCUCCAUCCAUGGCUGAAGUGCCCUUGAGCAAGGCACCUAACCCCACAUUGU